ACUCAAAGGAAUUGACGGGGGCCCGCACAAGCGGUGGAGCAUGUGGUUCAAUUCGAUGCAACGCGAAGAACCUUACCGGGGUUUGAACUGUAGUGGAAAACUUCAGAGAUGAAGUCCCCUAGCAAUAGGCCGCUAUAGAGGUGCUGCAUGGCUGUCGUCAGCUCGUGUCGUGAGAUGUUGGGUUAAGUCCCGCAACGAGCGCAACCCUUGCUGUUAGUUGCUCAUACGCCGUAAGGCGCAUAGCACUCUAACUAGGACUGCUGGUGAUAAACCGGAGGAAGGUGGGGAUGACGUCAAGUCAUCAUGGCCUUUAUGCCCCGGGCUACACACGUGCUACAAUGGCCGGUACAAAGGGUCGCCAAACCGCAAGGUGGAGCCAAUCCCAGAAAGCCGGCCUCAGUUCGGAUUGCACUCUGCAACUCGAGUGCAUGAAGUUGGAAUCGCUAGUAAUUGCGGAUCAGCAUGCCGCGGUGAAUACGUUUCCGGGCCUUGUACACACCGCCCGU
rnacentral:rRNA from 1 species